UGGGGAAUUUUGGACAAUGGGCGCAAGCCUGAUCCAGCCAUGCCGCGUGCGGGAAGAAGGCCUUCGGGUUGUAAACCGCUUUUGUCAGGGAAGAAAUCUUCUGAGUUAAUACCUCGGGAGGGUGACGGUACCUGAAGAAUAAGCACCGGCUAACUACGUGCCAGCAGCCGCGGUAAUACGUAGGGUGCAAGCGUUAAUCGGAAUUACUGGGCGUAAAGCGUGCGCAGGCGGUUUUGUAAGACAGAGGUGAAAUCCCCGGGCUCAACCUGGGAACUGCCUUUGUGACUGCAAGGCUUGAGUGCGGCAGAGGGGGGAUGGAGUUCCGCGUGUAGCAGUGAAAUGCGUAGAUAUGCGGAGGAACA
rnacentral:rRNA from 1 species